UGCAGCGGCCGGGUUGAGGCCGCGGUCAGGCAAGCCGCCAGCAAGGCAACAGGGCGGCGCCGCGGAGCCGAGCCAACCACCCCGCGGCCGUCAAGCCCCCAAGAUCCCGUGCGCGUUCCGUUCCGCAGCCAAAUCGAGAUCUAUCCCCCCCCCCCCCCCCCCCCCCGCCGUGCAGAAUCCCACCCCUCCCGGACCCGGCCGACCGCGGCAGCGCCUUGCAUCGCGUCGGGCGGAGGAGCCGAAGAGGAGGAACCGGAAGCGGAGAUGGCCUCAGCGCUCUCCUCCCUGCGCUACGGCGACAGCCUCUCGGUGGUGGCCAUCUCCGCCGCGACGGCCGUGCUCUGCGAGGCCAUCUCCUGGCUCCUCAUCUACCGCACCGCCACCUACAACUCCCUCCGCGCCUCCAUCGAGCGCCACUCCCGCAAGCUCGACGCCAUGAAGUCAGGCGCCGGCUCCUCCGCCUCCUCCGGCGCCGGCGGGGGCGGCUCCUCCUCCGCGCAGCCCGCCUCGUCGCGGGCCAAGAAGAUGGACCGCGUCGAGACCAGCCUCAAGGACGCCGCGCGGGAGCUCUCGCUCGCCAAGCUCAAGUCCGGCGCCGUCGUCGCGGCCGUGCUUUUCGUCGUCUUCGGCCUGCUCAACUCGCUCUUCGAGGGACGCGUCGUCGCCAAGCUGCCCUUCGCGCCCGUCCCGCUCGUCCAGCGGAUGAGCCACCGCGGCCUGCCCGGGAACGAUCCCACCGACUGCUCCAUGGUCUUCCUCUACUUCCUCUGCUCCAUGAGCAUCCGAACAAACCUCCAGAAGCUGCUUGGCUUCGCGCCGCCACGCGCGGCUGCUGCGGCCGGCGGGGGCCUCUUCCCCAUGCCCGAUCCGAAAGUGAAUUGAGCUGCGUCUACCACCACCACGGGUUUGUUUCUGAGAGGAGUGAAUCUGAACGAAGGAAUAGCAUGGUCACCCUGGGAAGAAUGUGUUAUAGACUCUGUACCAGUAGGUGUAUCAAAUUCAGUUUCCCCAACUCACCGGUCUUCUGUUGGAUCGAUGAUCUGCAAACAUGAAGCUUGGAUCUGCAUUUUGUUCAUUCAGCUGGUAAACUCCGGCCCCCCCUGGCUUUGGAGCACUAUGGAAAUGUGAGCGAUGGAACCGAUCCGGUAAAUCAGAUACAGAUGAUGUGAUACCAUCAGCCAGGGAGCAGACUCCAGGGUGUUUUUUAAGGGCGAGUGAUCCGGCCCACAUGCCUGCUUCCGCUCCAUACUUCCAGUUCCAGGUUCCAGCUCAAAUUGACGUAUAUGAUCGGCCGUUUCUGGCAACUAACUUGUCAGCCGUCAGCAACUUGCAAAGAGUUUAUGCUUCCCCCCGUGCACAAUGAACUGGCGCACCCGGAGUCUGGUUGCAUCUGUGACUGAGAAGACAUCUCAAUUCACCGCGUUUCAGUGAUUAUCUUCUCUUGCCCUUGCGACAUCGCCGCUUCCGACAUUUGGAACUAAACAUCAAUUCUACGUGAUUAGAACAGUUUGUCGCUAUUUGUUUCACUUAUAAGGUGCUGAAUGUUAGGCACUUAAUAAAUGCCGCAGCAAGCUUGCUAUUA